CCUACGGGAGGCAGCAGUGGGGAAUAUUGCGCAAUGGGCGAAAGCCUGACGCAGCGACGCCGCGUGAGGGAUGAAGGUCUUCGGAUCGUAAACCUCUGUCAGCAGGGAAGAACGGUCACUGUGCUAAUCAGCAGUGAAUUGACGGUACCUGCAAAGGAAGCACCGGCUAACUCCGUGCCAGCAGCCGCGGUAAUACGGAGGGUGCGAGCGUUAAUCGGAAUUACUGGGCGUAAAGCGCUCGUAGGCGGUAUGUCAAGUCAAGGGUGAAGUCCCCGCGCUCAACGUGGGAACUGCCUUUGAAACGGGCAAACUGGAGUGUGUGAGAGGAUAGUGGAAUUCCAGGUGUAGGAGUGAAAUCCGUAGAUAUCUGGAGGAACAUCAGUGGCGAAGGCGACUAUCUGGCACAUAACUGACGCUGAGGAGCGAAAGCGUGGGUAGCAAACAGGAUUAGAUACCCCAGUAGUC
rnacentral:rRNA from 1 species